GGGGGAUAUUGCACAAUGGAGGAAACUCUGAUGCAGCAACGCCGCGUGAGGGAAGAAGGUUUUCGGAUUGUAAACCUCUGUCCCCGGGGACGAUAAUGACGGUACCCGGGGAGGAAGCUCCGGCUAACUACGUGCCAGCAGCCGCGGUAAUACGUAGGGAGCAAGCGUUAUCCGGAUUUACUGGGUGUAAAGGGCGCGCAGGCGGGAAAACAAGUUGGGAGUGAAAUCCGGGGGCUCAACCCCCGAACUGCUUUCAAAACUGUUUUUCUUGAGUGAUGGAGAGGCAGGCGGAAUUCCCAGUGUAGCGGUGAAAUGCGUAGAUAUUGGGAGGAACACCAGUGGCGAAGGCGGCCUGCUGGACAUUAACUGACGCUGAGGCGCGAAAGCGUGGGGAGCAAACA
rnacentral:rRNA from 1 species